rnacentral:rRNA from 1 species
CCUACGGGGGGCAGCAGUGGGGAAUAUUGCACAAUGGGCGCAAGCCUGAUGCAGCAACGCCGCGUGAGGGACGACGGCCUUCGGGUUGUAAACCUCUUUUAGCAGGGAAGAAGCGAAAGUGACGGUACCUGCAGAAAAAGCACCGGCUAACUACGUGCCAGCAGCCGCGGUAAUACGUAGGGUGCAAGCGUUAUCCGGAAUUAUUGGGCGUAAAGAGCUCGUAGGCGGUUUGUCGCGUCUGCUGUGAAAACUGGGGGCUCAACCCCCAGCCUGCAGUGGGUACGGGCAGACUAGAGUGCGGUAGGGGAGAUUGGAAUUCCUGGUGUAGCGGUGGAAUGCGCAGAUAUCAGGAGGAACACCGAUGGCGAAGGCAGAUCUCUGGGCCGUAACUGACGCUGAGGAGCGAAAGCGUGGGGAGCAAACAGGCUUAGAUACCCCGGUAGUC